rfam:Helianthus annuus linkage group 11, whole genome shotgun sequence.
GGAAAUUGAUGACUCCAUGUGAUAAGGUCUCGUUCGUCGUAAUGAUAUGAUGAACUCACACCUUGCCGACCAUCCUGUUAUAUCACCACCCAUAAACUGAAUCC